GUGGGGAAUAUUGGACAAUGGGCGAAAGCCUGAUCCAGCCAUGCCGCGUGUGUGAAGAAGGUCUUCGGAUUGUAAAGCACUUUAAGUUGGGAGGAAGGGUAGUAACCUAAUACGUUGCUACUUUGACGUUACCGACAGAAUAAGCACCGGCUAACUUCGUGCCAGCAGCCGCGGUAAUACGAAGGGUGCAAGCGUUAAUCGGAAUUACUGGGCGUAAAGCGCGCGUAGGUGGUUUUGUAAGUUGGAGGUGAAAUCCCCGGGCUCAACCUGGGAACUGCCUCCAAAACUGCAUGACUAGAGUACGGUAGAGGGUAGUGGAAUUUCCUGUGUAGCGGUGAAAUGCGUAGAUAUAGGAAGGAACACCAGUGGCGAAGGCGACUACCUGGACUGAUACUGACACUGAGGUGCGAGAGCGUGGGGAGCAAACAGGAUUAGAUACCCGUGUAGUCC
rnacentral:rRNA from 1 species